rnacentral:tRNA from 1 species
CUUCUUGAAGCUUUUAACAAUUGAAGCGGUGUUUUGAAGGGACAUAGAAGAUUUAUUUCCAUGAAGA